rnacentral:rRNA from 1 species
GUCGAGCGGCAAGUUAGGUAGUAAUACUUGACCUAGAGCGGCGCACGGGUGCGUAACGCGUAUGCAACCUACCUUUUACUGGGGGAUAGCCCGGAGAAAUCUGGAUUAAUACCCCAUAGUACCUAAGGAUCGAUUGGUUUUUAGUUUAAAGAUUUAUCGGUAAAAGAUGGGCAUGCGUCUGAUUAGCUAGUUGGCGGGGUAACGGCCCACCAAGGCGACGAUCAGUAGGGGUUCUGAGAGGAAGGUCCCCCACACUGGCACUGAGAUACGGGCCAGACUCCUACGGGAGGCAGCAGUAGGGAAUAUUGGGCAAUGGUCGCAAGACUGACCCAGCCAUGCCGCGUGCAGGAAGACGGCCCUCUGGGUUGUAAACUGCUUUUAUCUGGGAAGAAAAAGUCCAUGCGUGGAAAAUUGCCGGUACCAGAUGAAUAAGCACCGGCUAACUCCGUGCCAGCAGCCGCGGUAAUACGGAGGGUGCAAGCGUUGUCCGGAUUUAUUGGGUUUAAAGGGUGCGUAGGCGGCUGAAUAAGUCAGCGGUGGAAGACUUCGGCUUAACCGGAGCAGUGCCGUUGAUACUGUUUAGCUUGAGUGUUGGAGGGGUACAUGGAAUUGAUGGUGUAGCGGUGAAAUGCAUAGAUACCAUCAGGAACACCGAUAGCGAAGGCAUUGUACUGGCCAACAACUGACGCUGAGGCACGAAAGUGUGGGGAUCGAACAGGAUUAGAUACCCUGGUAGUCCACACUGUAAACGAUGAUUACUCGCUGUUAUGCUGUAUAGUGUAGCGGC